UGGAGCUGAGACUUCAGACAGCAGACGGACUUCUGAGGAGGAACAUCAGCACCACACGAGAGUUAAUGUAGCUGAAGCAGAAAGAAGCUUUUUAAAACUGAAACUGAUGAAAUCAUACCUGAGAUCCACCAUGUCACAAGAGCACCUCAGCAGCCUCGCUGUCAGAAACAUCAACCAUACAAGUGCUGGUCAGAUUUGCAACGAUGAUGUAAUUGAUGACUUUGCAACAAACAAAGCAAGAAAGGUGGCAGCAGGAUGGGGGCAGGUCAUGACGUGGAAAGGAGACUCUCUGCUUGCAGGCUUCCUGUGACGUAGCUUCCUGUGUUUGACUG